GGCGAGAUGGCCGAGCGGUCUAAGGCGCCAGACUAAGGAUCAGGAAGUUUGACUUCCAUCUAGUGAGCAUCAGCUUACGUAAUCUGGUCAUUCGUGGCGUGGGUUCGAAUCCCACUCUCGUCA